GACGAACGCUGGCGGCGUGCCUAAUACAUGCAAGUAGAACGCUGAAGCGAGGAGCUUGCUCUUCUUGGAUGAGUUGCGAACGGGUGAGUAACGCGUAGGUAACCUGCCUUGUAGCGGGGGAUAACUAUUGGAAACGAUAGCUAAUACCGCAUAACAAUGGAUGACACAUGUCAUUUAUUUGAAAGGGGCAAUUGCUCCACUACAAGAUGGACCUGCGUUGUAUUAGCUAGUAGGUGAGGUAAUGGCUCACCUAGGCGACGAUACAUAGCCGACCUGAGAGGGUGAUCGGCCACACUGGGACUGGGACACGGCCCAGACUCCCACGGGAGGGAGCAGUAGGGAAUCUUCGGCAAUGGGGGCAACCCUGACCGAGCAACGCCGCGUGAGGGAAGAAGGGUUUCGGAUCGUAAAGCUCUGUUGUAAGUCAAGAACGGGUGUGAGAGUGGAAAGUUCACACUGUGACGGUAGCUUACCAGAAAGGGACGGCUAACUACGUG
rnacentral:rRNA from 1 species